GUAGGUGGCGAGCGUUAUCCGGAAUGAUUGGGCGUAAAGGGUACGUAGGCGGCAUGAUAAGUCUGGAGUGAAAGGCUACAACUCAACUGUAGUAUGCUCUGGAAACUGUCAAGCUAGNGUGCAGAAGAGGGCNAUGGAACUCCAUGUGUAGCGGUAAAAUGCGUAGAUAUAUGGAAGAACACCGGUGGCGAAGGCGGUUGCCUGGUCUGAAACUGACGCUGAAGUACGAAAGCGUGGGGAGCAAAUAGGAUUAGAUACCCUAGUAGUCCACGCCGUANACGAUGAGNACUAGGUGUUGGGGGNAUNACUCAGUGCCGCAGUUAACGCNAUAAGUUCUCCGCCUGGGGAGU
rnacentral:rRNA from 1 species